CGGGGCAAGACCGGUCGGCCGGGAGGCGCUGGCCACAGGGAGUGGGGGAGAGGCUACGGCCCCUGGCGGGGAAGAAACCCAGGAGACAGGCUUCACCGCAAAUCCUUAUGAUGGCCCAGCAAGGCCUCUAGUGCCAGGAGGCCCACCUUGUCAGGGAGCCAGGCAGUGUCACCCUUCCCUCCUCCACCCCAGAAGGAAGAGCUGAGGCCGGGGAAGGGACAGGAGUGGUGUGCUGUGCUGGCUCCCACUGUUUAGAUUUGACAACCAGUUUCCAGAUUUUUUCCAAAACAUUGGUGCUUACUUGAUGCUGGGCAAGAGGGAAUCUGUAGUGACAAAGAAAGGAGAUUUCUCAAAGCUCCCAUCCGAUAGGGGAAGACCAGCAAAACUGGUAUUGACAGUAUAGUGUAGCACUAUAUGGUGAUGUUCCUGAAAACCAGGGGAGCACAGGAGAAGCAGCUUUUGGGGGUCCAGAAGGCUAGAAAGUAUAUCAGGUGGAGAAUUGAGGUACUCCAGGAAGAGGUAAUUGUGUGUGCAAAACAGAGGAUGGAAAAAGGAUGGCUAUAUUUAGAAGAAAGAGUAGUUCUGGUUGCCCCAUGAGUGUACCUACCACUGAAGGGGAGAGGAAAGUAAAAGGAAGUAUAGUUGGAGAGCCCCCUGUACUUCAUUCAGUUUGAACCUGUGGUGUCAGGACCUUGGGUAUCUCCUGUGACAGCAAGUGGAACAGUGAUUAUAAAAAGCGACUGGACUUUGGCGGGGGAGUGAUAAUGGGGGGCUGUGUGUAUGUGGGUGUGUGGGGGGGAUGUGGGGAAUCUCUGUACCUUCCACUCAGUUUUGCUGUGAACCUAAAACUCCUCUAAGAAAUAAAGUCUAGCUCUGUGUGUGCUCGGUGUGGCUCAGUUGCGUGUUGUCCCACAAAGCAAAAGGUCGCUGGUUCAAUCCCCAGUCAGGGCACAUGCCUGGCUUUUGAGUUCAGUGCCUGGGCAGGGCACCUACCAGAGGCAACUGAUCAAAGUUUCUCUUUCACAUCAAUGUUUCUCUCCCUCUCUUUCUCCUUUCCUACUCUCUAAAAAGUAAAUAAGUAAAAUCUUUUAUAAAAGAGAGUCUAUAAACUUUUUAAAAAGAUUGAAAAUGACUUGAAAUUCCAGCCAGGCUUGGAUAGCAAAGGAAUACUAGCUUUGCAAGUCAUGUUGCCCCAUUUCAAUUACUGCUCAGUCUCUUACUAGUUGUGAUUUUAGACC